rnacentral:rRNA from 1 species
CAUGUAGGAAUUUAAAAGUUGAACAAACUUCUUAUUUUAAUUUCUUCACCAAAAAAGAAUCCUAAUCCAACAUCGAGGUCGCAAACUAUUUUAUCAAUAUGAACUUUCCAAAAUUAUUACGCUGUUAUCCCUAGAGUAUUUUUUUCAUUUAAUCGUUAAUAACGGAACUUAUUUUGUUUUAAAUAAAGAUAUACAUUCUUUUUUUAUCGCCCCAAUUAAAUUUACUUAAUAUCGAAAGAAUCUUCGUUCGUUAAAAGAAUUCAUAGGGUCUUCUUGUCCCUAAUAAAAAUGUUUGCUUCUUCACAAAAAAAUUAAAUUUAAUUUUUAAAUUAAAGAAAGAUUAUAAUUGUUAAAUCAUUCUCUUAGCGCCCAUUUAAAACCUUAUUUCAAUACCUUCGUAUAGUCAAAAUACCACAGCAAUUUAAAUUAUCAUUGAGCAGAUUUUACAUUUUAUAAAUUUCAAAAUGAAAUGUUUUUGU